rnacentral:rRNA from 1 species
GACGAACGCUGGCGGCGUGCUUAACACAUGCAAGUCGAACGGAAAGGCCCUGCUUUUGUGGGGUGCUCGAGUGGCGAACGGGUGAGUAACACGUGAGUAACCUGCCCUUGACUUUGGGAUAACUUCAGGCAACUGGGGCUAAUACCGGAUAGGAGCUCCUGCUGCAUGGUGGGGGUUGGAAAGUUUCGGCGGUUGGGGAUGGACUCGCGGCUUAUCAGCUUGUUGGUGGGGUAGUGGCUUACCAAGGCUUUGACGGGUAGCCGGCCUGAGAGGGUGACCGGCCACAUUGGGACUGGGAUACGGCCCAGACUCCUACGGGAGGCAGCAGUGGGGAAUAUUGCACAAUGGGCGGAACGCUGAUGCAGCCACGCCGCGUGCGGGAUGACGGCCUUCGGGUUGUAAACCGCUUUCGCCUGUGACGAAGCGUGAGUGACGGUAAUGGGUAAAGAAGCACCGGCUAACUACGUG